rnacentral:rRNA from 1 species
ACGGGGGGUGCAAGCGUUGUUCGGAAUCAUUGGGCGUAAAGGGCGUGUAGGCGGCUUGGUAAGUCAGAUGUGAAAGCCCUGGGCUUAACCCAGGAAGUGCAUUUGAAACUGUCAGGCUUGAGUAGGGGAGAGGAAGGUGGAAUUCCUGGUGUAGAGGUGAAAUUCGUAGAUAUCAGGAGGAACACCGGUGGCGAAGGCGACCUUCUGGCCCUAUACUGACGCUGAGACGCGAAAGCGUGGGUAGCAAACAG